GCAAAAUAAAGAAGCAUUGAAAUUUUAAUCUUACUUUUGCAGAUAUACUAGCCAACAAAAAGGCCAUGAAAAGCGUCCUUUUAAGCAAGAUAAACUAUAGGGUGUUUGGUUUUCUUUAAUAAAAGGAAAAAGGUUGACUGAUGCUUUCAUACAUGUUAAGACUUGGGGAUGGAUAAAUUGUGUGGUUGAUUCAUAAUGACAUCAAUUACACUUAUGGUACUGCAAUAAUUCACUCCUUUAUUAUUAUUUAUGAGGUGAUUUUAGGGUUUUAAAAAUGUUUUAUGUUUAUUGAUGUGUUUGGUUAACACACGCUUAAACGACAUGGUCAGGUGCUUUGCAGGAUGCUGGAGGAUGGCAAAAUCAAUACAUUCUGCACCCGAGAACAAUCUGCUAUGUUUUGUAGUGCAAAGUAAUUCCUUGAGCAACAUCCCAGGAGUCUCAGAGAUAAUUGCAAUUCCACACAGUCAACAGUCUGUUCAGAUCCAUAUUAUCACUGUCUUUAGCAGCUUUAUAUUUGUUUGUGAUCUUUGGCUUUAAUCUCUCCCCCCUCUCCAUCCCUCCCAACCCUACCUCAUGAUCCCAAUUGGCUCUUGUUCCAUUUAGUAAAUUUCAGGAAUGUGGAAGACCAAUCCAGAGGAAGGGAAGAAAGGAAUUCCUUAUGCAAACGUUUCAUGCAAACUCUUGGAACAAGGCAAUCCAAUAUGUGCCUGUUUGGAAGUUAGCCCCCUAAUGUGUACUGAAGAAGUUACUCAAAGCAAUGGAAGCAAUGUGACUGCUAGGCACCUUGUUCAACCUGAAUUUCAUCUAAAAAUUCACUGUGAGGCUGAUCAAGAAAGACGUUUUCUUUUGUUCCUUUGGCCAUUAGACUGACCAUGCAAGGAGAUGGAUCGACAGUUUUAUUUGCUCUGAUCCAAUUUGGCAAUCACCCUUCAGGUCUGGCACCAUCCACGCAGGAUGGAUGAAAACACAUGGGGGAAAGAGAACAUUUACCACCCUAUGGUUUGUUCUGGGAGGAAUUUAUUGCAACCUAAAAAAUCGAGACUGACUGCAACCUCCCAGAGGACCUUUUCCGUCGCCGCUCCUAGAUUGUGGAAUGCCCUGCCGGAGGAGAUCUGUCAAAUGACCAGCUUAGACGGCUUCAAAACAGUUGUCAACAUGGAUCUCUCCCAGCAGGCCUUUCCAGAUAGAUACCUCAGCCAAAUAAAGACAAAAUGAACCCACUUCCCAUCAUGGAUAGUGCAUCACUCAGCCUCUUUGCUUAUUAUUGUGAUUACUUUGUUUUUAUCUGUUUUUAAUUGACUAAUUUUAAUCAUACUAUGUUUAAUUCUUGUGUAUUGGACAGACUUUUAGAUGUAAGCCACUUUGAUUGCUUGACAACAGAAAAGUGGGAUGUAAAUAAAGUUUUAUUUAUUUUUAUUUUUUA